CCUACGGGUGGCAGCAGUAGGGAAUUUUGCGCAAUGGGCGAAAGCCUGACGCAGCAACACCGCGUGAAUGUUAAGCCCUUCGGGGUGUAAAGUUCUGUCAAUUGGGACGAAUUUUGACUGUACCUAUAAAGGAAGCACCGGCUAACUCCGUGCCAGCAGCCGCGGUAAUACGGGGGGUGCAAGCGUUGUCCGGAAUCAUUGGGCGUAAAGCGUUCGUAUGCGGCAAGGUAAGUCUGAUGUUAAAGCACGGGGGUCACCUCCGGUUCGGCAUUGGAUACUAUCUAGCUAGAAGGUGAUAGAGGUACAGGGAAUGCGUGGUGUAGCGGUGAAAUGCAUAGAGAUCACGCAGAACUCCGAUUGCGAAGGCAGCAGACCGGCGCCCAACUGACGCUGAAGCACGAAAGCGUGGGUAUCGAACAGGAUUAGAUACCCCGGUAGUC
rnacentral:rRNA from 1 species